CGGUAUUCCAACACAGAGAAGUCAAAACAUCAACUGACCAAAAACCGAGAUUUUGUACGAUGUAUAAAAAUGACGUUGAGUUUGCUUCAUCCUAACGUUGCCCGAUUUUGGGGAAUUGAACUGACCGAAGAUAUCGUUACUUUUGUGUAUGACUGCUGCCAAAGAGGGCCCUUGAAACAAUUUUUGGCAUCACCACCCAUAACCAUCGACUGGGAGCUGAAAAUGGGCUUAGCAGACGAUUUAUUCCGAAUUGCAAAAUUCGUCAACACCAACAUUCCGUUGCGAUAUCACGGAGUAAUCAGCUGCUCUACUUGCAUGAUUAAUAAUCACUUCAAUCUGAGACUAACGGAC